GGGAAUGUCCGCAUGUCUUUGUGUGUGUGUGUGUGUGCAAAAUGUGGAGAAGCUUAUGUGAUCACUCGCUCGGUCGCUCUCUGGGGCACAUAUUGUUAUAUACGCGUAUUUGUAACGAGCAAUAAGAAGCAGAAAGAAAAGAAGGUGAAAAAAGCAGAACAAGAGACACAAAAAAAAAACGGGACGACGAACGUCUCGGGACAGACAGACAGACAAUAAGAGAGAGAGAGAGUCCAGAGCUCAGCUCGAACAAACAAACGAGUGAGUUAAGAGCGAGAGAGAGAACUAUUCGCUCAUUUGCAAAAACAAAAAUCAACGAUACUCACUCACACGCACACACUCGCGCUUGCACACACAAGUAUGCAGAGACUGAGAGAGAGAAAGAGUAAGCAAGCGAGCGAGAGAAAGAGCAAUGAAGACCGACCGAAAAGAAAAGUACAAUAAAAAUUAAUCCGAUUGACAGCCAGCUAGCCGCCGCUGCUUCUCUGCCUCUGCCAGCCUUUUGAUAAAUAUUUUCAGCGACUUCCGCGCGCGCGCCCAACCAAAAACAACAGCGAAACCAAACUACACCACAACUACAACAACUACUAUUCUGUAGUUGCCUCUGCUGCCCAUUGCUACUAUUGCUGCUGCGCCGCGUUGCGUCGCAUCUGCUGCUGUUGUUGCUGCUGCUUCUCUUCUUCCAUCACAGAGAGGAGAGCAGAGCAGCGACAACAACCGAGGGCAGCGACAGCAACGCAGCCAACCGGCGUCUUUGUCAUUUCCAUUUCGCGAGCAGUUUGCCUCGCCAACAACACAACAAACACACACACACACACAUACAGUGGGCGCCAUUUGACCAAAAUUAAGAAAUUAAAUGGUGGAAUAUGAAAAGAAAUGGAAUUGAACUAUGAAAAUACACUCUCUAAAUACCGUGUAACAAAAUA